AAGUCGUAACAAGGUUUCCGUAGGUGAACCUGCGGAAGGAUCAUUAUAAGGAUCAUUUUCCGGAGAUGCCGUCCUGACCCCGAAGGGUGUCGGGGGAAGGCAGCUUCUCCCGCUUUGGUGUUUCAUCGAAGCGUUGGAACUCGUAAUUUCGCUCUGCGUGAGUGAUGGUUUGUAGUCUUUCGAGACAUAUGUUUUUGUUUGUCAAAAUGCACAGUGUGUAGCAUUUUCGAAAAAAAAAAGUUAUCAAAACUUUUGACAACGGAUCUCUUGGCUCUC
rnacentral:misc_RNA from 1 species